GAUCUCCUCAGCAUUUUCCUUCUUUAAAGAAUGGGCAUGUCUAAUGGACUUGUUUCCCCUUUCCAGAAGAAGGGGGACAUGGAGGACAGCAUGACAUAGAAUUUGUGAGGAUAGAGAUGGUGAGUCAUAUCCUGGAGACUGAAACUUUGAUUUCUGCUUCCCCUCUGUACAGGCAUGUCUAAUGGACUUGUUUCCCCUUUUCAGAAAAAGGGGGACAUGGAGGACAGGUAAAGGUGGGUGAGCAAUCUGCCCCAAACUAUUUGAUAUGAAUAGCCAGCUAAGGACAUCUAUGUAGAUGCUUGUACCUGUGCAGAUAUGGUGGCUGGAACAGGCAGGCUAGAAAAGGUGAAUCACGAAUUCACACCUGCAUUCUUGGAAGCAUUAGGCCAACAGAAGAACAGUAGAACCACAAGACAGAUGAGAAGACUUACUUCUGUACACUGACAGAGAUGACAGCCCCUCACAAAAGGACAACCCUCUCCUGUCUUUCAUCUCACACCCCUGACUCCAUCUUGCCUGUUACUCUUCCUUGAUUCCCUCUCAGCAGGCUCCGGGCACAACUUCUGCUAAUGGGAGGAAAAUGACCUUUUUAGUAAAAAUUGGACCAUUUAUUCUCUCAUGUUCAAAGUUCUCUCAAAUUUUUUUUCUGACUUCAAAAAGAUCACCCCCCCCCCCUCCUCAUAGGACACCUCUACUUCCUCUAGCCUCCACUUUCCAUCUUGACUCUUGGCAAUCAAUGAUUUUCUGCUUCUGUUUCCUCCUUGCCCAUCAAAGCCUUGAGAAAUUAUGACCGGCAAGGCUGGUUGUGACCUUUGUCUUAAGAAUAUUUAAAGGAAUUCUUAAAAUGCAGGACUAAGGAGAGAACUCGAAGGGCAAACAUGCUUUCUGUGUAAGCACAAGGACCUGGAUGUGAAUGCACAGCACCCAUGGAAAAGCCUGGCACAUAGGAUGUUACCUUAGCUCUUUAAUGGGAGACGACAAGGGGAGACUGGAUCAUGUGCAGAAAUUUGGAUGAACAGCUAGCAUGACAGCACAAAACAACAGGAUGAAAGGUGAAAACCAGUGCCCAAGGUUGUCCUUUGAUCUAUACAGGUGCACAAAUAGCAUGUGUCUACCUGAAUUCACACACACAUACACACACACACACACACACACACACACACCAACUAUAAUGUAUAGAACCCAUGUGUUUAGUUUCUUAAAAUUUAUGAAAAAAAGUUUGCCUUUUCCUGAUCUAGGUCAUGUUCUCUAUCAGGCCAUUUUAAUUAUUCUCUGUUUUAUGUACCUUGACUUGCCAAUAUGUUCUUAGUAGAACCUCUUCCCCUUGCUGACUUGCCUCUCCACUCAGAUUUUCAGUGGCAGGACUAUUCAUUCAGGCUCCUUGGUCUACUAUUCAGAGCCUAACAUAUAAUCUUACUACCCUAAGUUUAAAUAAAUACCUAUGGUUUACUUCCUGUUUCAGUAUCCCAGAGAUGGCUUUAUGACCACUGUUCUCAGGUAAGUCCACUCUAGGUGCCUAAGCCAUUCCUGUGCUCAAUUAGUCAUGGAUACUUUACAUCAGGAAACCAGGAUCCAUUGUAGUCAUAAACUCUAGCACAAGUGGAUGUAGUUAAAGAAGUGACCUUUUAUCUCUAUGGUGGUUCUGCUGGGAACUUAUUAUGACUCUUUCUGACAUGUAGGCUAGCCCCUAAAGCAUUACACUUAAGUAGAAUUUCACAGGUGGCCCAAGGCUAUCCUCAUGUUUAUCUGAGCCCUGGUGAUCUUCAAAGUUGAAUGUCCUGUCACUGAAAACUAAUAGAGAAGCCCGUUUCUUAGUUCCUGAAACUAGAUUCCUGUUGAUAAUUGUCUUUCUAUAACCACAGGAGGUCCAUGUUAAUAAUUCUCUACAAUCCUAUUCAAUGAUGACAUCUGUUUAAGCAUACAUUAUACGAGUCAGACUUGCUUCACAGAUACUAUAUUAAUUUGUUACUUUUCCUGAGCAAAUGUGACUGCGCAUUUGGUUAAAUAUUUACAAAAUGUAGGUGAGUGAGCAGAAGAAAAAGAUAAAAUUAAAGCCAAAUAGGACCCAUGUUUUUUGAGGAAAAGUUCCGUUGACUUUGUUGUGUGUAUAAUGAGUUGCUACAGAAAAUGUGAUAUGUUCAAACUGUGCUCUUCAUAGUCACUGAUUGAAAAGGGACAGUUUUCUGCAGUUCAAAACCAAGUCAUUCUUAUUAAAAGGUCACAGGAAACUGAGGAGAAAUGUCAGGCACACAGACUGACCUAUUCAGAAUAUAAUCAAGCUUGCUUUAAAAAAGACAACAUCUACAUCACGAAGGGGAGAGAUCUGAUUGUAUUCUCUAUGCCUUGAUAAUACAGUUAGUGCCGAUAAGACCUUGAGACAAUCUUGCCCUUCAGAAAAUGAGUGUUUGUGGUGGGUGUGGGUGAGCCAGAGGAGCCCUGUGAUGCAAUGUGGCUAAGAUCAUCUCUCUAGCCCAUUUCCUUUAGAGUUUACUGAACCUAUCCUUUCCCCCCACAAGAUGCUCAUUUCUAGUUUUAUUUUUUAUAACGUUAAUGUACUUUGCUUUUCCCAUACAUUAACUACCUUCAUAAAAUGUUGAUAAAGUUGUUCCCCUUGCCCCACCAGCAGACUGACAGCUGUAUAACUCUCAUCUUAUGCUUGCCCAGUGGUACCAUUUGUGCAACGUAUCUUCUGGAAGUCUCUCAUUCUAUUUGAAGAGACCAGCUGUAAAGGCAAGAUGGUAAAUCCAUUUUCGUGCCAGUUCAUCUUUGGCUUCUCUCCAGAUUUCUAAUAUUUAGGGCUUGAUUUUGCUGGCUGCCUUCUUCGUGGAUGCACAGAGCUCCCAUUGACUUCAUUAUGAUAAGCAGAGUGAUGAUAAACUCAAAUGGUAAACAGAAGGGUUCUUCACUUCAAUGGAAAUUCUCUGCGUGUGAAGAGAUAUUGUCCAGUAAAAAAAUCAUCCAAUUUCAUAUUAAAUAAAUAAACACAAUGGUAUCUGGAAUGACAACUUGGAGUCAUUUGACAUAUGUCUAAGAUAGCAUGACAACCAGAGAUUCCACUCUCAUCAUUACGAAAUUACUGUCUGAUAAACAGACUUGAUUUCUUCACUCCUCUUAAAGAAGAGUCCUAGAUGCUCCAUCCUCCUGCUGUCAUGAAUCUUUCUGAAGAUGUGCAUAAAUAUACUGCUUUUCUUGUAAAGAUGGGCCCACCAAUAAGGCCCAUCAAAGCAAGUGAACUAUAAUAUUUUUAAUAUUUGAUAUUUUUCAUUGGUUCAAAUUUGCAUGGCCAACAAUCAAUCUGGUGUUUAGUUUCCUCCUGAGUUUCCACUGUUGCAAACUGACACAGGGAGGAUGGUGGUGGUGCUGGGUUAAGAAUUUAAGGUGCUAACUGACUAAUGUAGGCAAGCAUAAUUAAUCAUGUCAGAAAUCUUUGCAUGCAGUUUAAUUGGUUUGCAUUAUCUAUAAGAUAGUGUUUUCAUAAAAUAACAAAAUGGUUUCUGCUAAAACUGCUAAUUUAUUGCCUUCAAAAUAAGAGGCACCCAAAUGGGAAUCCAGAAGGAGUAAAACCCCCAUGCUCCUCAAAAUGAGAGCAUUUCAGAUAAAAUAGUGCUGUGUGUUUUUUUUUCAUAUGAAGACUGUUGAUUAAUAAACUUAGCUUACCUUUGGUGGCAUAAGCAAAAUGUUUCCAUUAAUUCUAUUUGUUGAAAUGAAUUUGUUUUUGGUAAAGCUUUUUGGGUUAAGUUUUUUUUUUUCCCAAUUGAGAGAAAAAAACCUGACUACCUCCUCUAUGCAAGUAUUCAAAUUUUUUAUUUUCUGCAUUCUCUCAGUCCUUGAAUUUGAGUUUGUAUUAGUGCUUAUAUUUUAUUUUAUUUUAUUUUAUUUUAUUUUAUUUUAUUUUAUUUUUUAGCACAGAGCAUCUAUGUUUUCCCAACUAAGACCUGCUUCAUUUUUAUCUUUCUUUUCCUGUAAAUUAUUUAAUCUGAAUGCCACUGGAUUUUUUACUUAUGAUCAAAAAUGUUCUGUGUAUUUCCCAGUACCCAGCAUAGUUACAUUAUGAGAAUGCACUGUUUUUAUUUUUGGAGUAUUUAGUUUCUAAAUAUGCAUUAGAAUAGUUUUUAAAAAGCAUGUUUCCCCUCAAGUGAUUUUUUUCUAUUAUUAUAAGGAGGCAUAGGUUAAAGGCUCCAUUACAUACCAAGCAGAAGAUAAGUAACACGCAGUAAGCUAUGUUUAAUUUUAUAUGAGGGAGGCUUCUAUUGACCAGGAGGGAAAUGGUGGUGAAUAAAUAUUAAGACAGAUGACAUUAAGAUUCAAAAAUUUCAAGGAAAUUUUGGUAUGAUUUUUCUCAGCUUAUAUACACAGCAGUUUUAUUCUACUAUUCAUUUUAUCCUAUGCUUCAUGCAAUAAAAUAUCAUUUAAGGAGCCAACAGGAAAAUUCAAGUGGUGCCUUACCUAUAGAUAAAAAUUAAGUAUUGUAAAGAAAAAUGGGAGAAGAACAAAAUGUUUUAGCAUUUCAACUAAUUACAUUGUCAUUUUCUUGGUAUGUUUUUUUUUUCUUUUUUCCCAUUUUGAUGCUCUGUUAUGAUAGUGUUUGAAUGACUGUUCAUUACUUCUGAGCUUUUCUUUCUGUUUUAUUAGUCAAUGUGACAUUUUAAGAAAAUUAUUAUACCAGUUGCUUUGAUGAUAAUAUCUAAAUAAAAUGUUUUAAAGUCACUGUA